CUCACUCCUAGGGACAAUUUAGAGUUGCCAAUUCACCUACGAGCUGGCAUUUUCUCAAAAAUGUAUCUUUUUGGCUAUUGUAAUGUUUUCCCCUUAUUUAUGGUCAACUUUGAUUAUUUACUUAUUUGUCUUUUUAUUUUGCUAAUCAUUAAUUACACUUUAAGUUUCAUUUUCAUUCAACAAUUCAAUUCUGCAUUUUCUUCUGGAAACGCAGCUCCUUUUAGCUGGAUUUGUAAUCUAUUAGUUGAGGAUUUUAGUCGUAUGACUAAAAAAAUUGAGCAUUUAUAAAGAUACUUUUUCAGUGAAUUUUUUUUUUUCUUGAGCAGCAGUAUGUUCCAAUGUUUUAUUCUAGUUCCUAGCAUUCUUCUCUUUUCAUCACUAGAUGUCACCUUUGAGAGAAUGAACCCUAAUUUGAUCCCUUUAAGAUUCAUAAGUGGUUCUUUGUUUUAUUUUCACAUCCCUACAUGAAGGCAAGAGAGAAUCCGACAAUCAAGAGGACGCUGUGGCUCCUGAAGAUCUGCAAGCCGCAGGAAAAGAACUGGCGCUGCAGCCUAGACAGGCUUUUGGUAAAUUCCUCUGCUUCUGGAAACCGUUACCUGGAUUUAUUUCCCGCUCGCCGUGAACGGAGCUGCAAGUUACAGACGAGCUGGGAGUCAGAAGAUCUGCUCUCACUGGAGGGUUUUCCUUAAAAAAUAAAAAGCAUUGUGGGAAGUGUAGAGUCCAUCCAUGAGCCUCAUCAUCACGUCUGAGAUCCUGGAGCUAACCGCUACAACAUCCGGUCGCCGCUCCGCAUCUGGGGCCAAACACCUGCACAGCUAUUUGUCAGGCUCAUACUCGGCCUCCACGAUCUAUCAGCACAAAAAAGGAGGAAAAUUUAUCAUGGGAUUGAUGGUGUUUACAGUCAAGGGAAACCUGGAGGCUUUGGUG